rnacentral:rRNA from 1 species
UACAGAGGUGGCAAGCGUUGUUCGGAAUUACUGGGCGUAAAGGGCGCGUAGGCGGCCGCCUAAGUCAGACGUGAAAUCCCCAGGCUUAACUUGGGAACUGCGUCUGAUACUGGGUGGCUUGAGUUCGGGAGAGGAAUGUGGAAUUCCAGGUGUAGCGGUGAAAUGCGUAGAUAUCUGGAGGAACACCGGUGGCGAAGGCGGCAUCCUGGACCGAAACUGACGCUGAGGCGCGAAAGCCAGGGGAGCAAACGGG